rnacentral:rRNA from 1 species
UGGGGGAUAUUGCACAAUGGGCGAAAGCCUGAUGCAGCGACGCCGCGUGGGGGAUGAAGGCCUUCGGGUUGUAAACUUCUUUUGCUCUGAACAAGGCGCACCAUAGGGUGUGUUGAGUGUAGGGGUUGAUUAGCGCCGGCUAACUACGUGCCAGCAGCCGCGGUAAUACGUAGGGCGCGAGCGUUGUCCGGAAUUAUUGGGCGUAAAGGGCUUGUAGGUGGCUGGUUGCGUCUGUCGUGAAAGCUCAUGGCUUAACUGUGGGUUUGCGGUGGGUACGGGCUGGCUUGAGUGCAGUAGGGGAGGCUGGAAUUCCUGGUGUAGCGGUGGAAUGCGCAGAUAUCAGGAGGAAUACCGGUGGCGAAGGCGGGUCUCUGGGCUGUUACUGACACUGAGGAGCGAAAGCAUGGGGAGCGAACAGG